UACGGAGGGGGUUAGCGUUGUUCGGAAUGACUGGGCGUAAAGCGUGCGCAGGCGGUUUUGUAAGUCUGAUGUGAAAUCCCCGGGCUCAACCUGGGAAUUGCAUUGGAGACUGCAAGGCUAGAAUCUGGCAGAGGGGGGUAGAAUUCCACGUGUAGCAGUGAAAUGCGUAGAGAUGUGGAGGAACACCGAUGGCGAAGGCAGCCCCCUGGGUCAAGAUUGACGCUCAUGCACGAAAGCGUGGGGAGCAAACAGG
rnacentral:rRNA from 1 species